GUGCUCACUUCAGCAACACAUAUACUGAAGUUGGAACGAUACAGAGAUUAGCAUGGCCUCCGUACAAGGAUGACAUGCAAAUUCGUGGAGCGUUCCAUAUUAAA